AGAAGGAGAGGAGAGUCUUCCUGAAAGAAGUAAUGUGUGAUGAGGUAGAUGAGGGAGGGCCUUCCUUCAGCCUUAGGUAUGGAGAGGUAACUAGCAUGAAAUGUGUGGAGCUGUGCAAAUUCAAGGUUUACUGGAGUAUAGUUAUGGAGUAGGGACUGUUAGGAGAUGGGGGCGAGACAGAUCACCAAGAGCCAGAUCAUGGAGGAGAUUGCAUGGCUUGUUAAGAAUCCUGUGAGGGUUUUUUUUUUUAAUGUUUAUGUAUUUAUUUUGAAAGCGAGCACUUGCACCCAUGUGAGCGGGAGAGGGGCUGAGAGAGAGGGGGAGACAGAAUCUCAAGUGGUUCUGUGCUGUCAGCACAGAGCCUGAUGUGGGGCUCGAUCUCAUGAACUGUGAGAUCAUGACUUGAGCCAAAAUCAAGAGUCAGAUCCUUAACCAACUGAGCCUUCCAGGUGUCUAAAGAAUCCUACGAGGUUCUUAAGCAUGGGAAUGAUUUUCCCAGCUUUCUGUGUUAGGUCCUUCACUCUUGUAGCUGUGGGGAAGAUGGGUUUAGAGAAAUUGGGUGGGAGAUCAAGUUUGGGGAUUUCUGCUGAAGUCCUGAUGAUAGAGAUGAGAGCAGUGAGGAGACAGGAGUAUAUCUGAGAAGUAGUUAGCAGGUGAAAUCAGCCUCAUUUUGGUGGGACGCCAGAGGGAAAGGAAAAUAACACUCAGUUUUUGGCAUGGCUGACUAGGUGGAUAUCGGCACUGCCAACUGGAAGAGUACAGGAAGAAGAGCAGGUUUAGGAGGGAAGAUAAAUGGAUUUCGUUCAGGAUAUAAAAAGUUUGAGGUUCCUAAGAAUAUCCAGAUGGAGCUGUUUGGCAGGCACUUCUUAUAUCCUCUGUUUUCAAUUCCAAGAUGAGUGUGUGUGUGUGUGUGUGUGUGUGUGUGUGUGUAUGUAUGUAUAUAUACAAAUGUAUACACACACGUGUGUGUGUUUUUUCCACCCUAGUGAUGCCUAUUAAAUUGAUAAUCUCUUAGAUUUGCUGUAAAAUACUUUGAGCUUGAAGCUUCAGAGAGAGAAAUGAUGUGAGAAAAUGAGAGCAGUCAGGGGUAACUUCGAGGCUCCUGUAGGAUGUCCAAGUGGAGAUAUUUUGCAGUCUGAAGCUUGGAGAAGAUAUCUGGGUUGAAGAUGUAGGUUUAGGAGUCUGGUGGUUUAGGAGGUGGUUUAAAACUCAAGAGCGAGCAAGAUUUCACAGGGUAAGGAAUGAGAAGAGCAGAGGGACAGGUUUGGAACCAUAGGAUACACUGAGCAACAGCAUGGCCAGACUGGGAGAGUGCUGGGUCAUGGGAGCCAAGGAUGUCAGGAAUUGGGGCGGGCAUUUAACAGUGUCAGUUGCCUAAGAGUCUUUUAGUUAGAUAAGACCUGAAAAGUAUCCAUUGGAUUUGGCAUUCAGGACGUCAUUGGUGACCUUAGCAAGAGCUGUUUCAGAAAUAGUGGGGAUAGAAGCCAGAUUGCAGUGGGUGAGGCUUUAUGGGAAGUGGGGGAGUGGAGACAGCAAGGACCGUCAAAUUGCCAGAGCUAGAAAAAGAGGAAGGGCAUGAGAUGCCACCUAGAGGGAGAUAUAGGUCAAGGCAGUAUUUUUAAAUGGUAUUGAGUGAAGAAUGUUCUGAUUAGGAAGGAGCCAGGAGCAGUUCAGGGUGCAGUAGACCAGUGUAGUAAGUGAUGGAGCAGCGUUCCCCAGAGUUGAGUGGGGGCAGAGUAAAGGGGAAGCAGAGGGAACCCUCUUCUAAACCUAAAAGAAAAGAGGUCUGGGUAUAUGUGAAUGUAAGGUUGAGUGGGAAGUUAUAACAAAUACUGAAUUUUUCAGCUUUGCCUGGGUUGGUCACAGUGGUGAGGGUAUGAUACAGUUUUUGAAGAAACUGUGCGCUCCAGGUGGGUUUCAAGAAAAUAGAAGACAGCUGUGAGUGGGAGUUCUUCCCAGAAGCACUCAGCUACUCAGUGACAGGAUGGACAAAGUGGAUAUAUUCUAUUGGUAGUUCAGGUUUUGGGGUUUUGCUGUAGGACUGUUGUGGAGUGGUAAGGGAUCGAAUGCAGGAGAAUCAAGAGUGCUGGCCCCUAUUGGGAUCCUGGAUUACUGGGGAGUGAGUAGGAAGAGACUAGAAGAGGCCAGUGGUCUUGAGUUGUAGGGAUCAAGGGAGUAGAUGUGUGAGAGGUGAGAGCCUGAGUAAUGUCAGAGAUUAGGGAGGUGAUUUACUAUAGUGGUUAGAAGUCAGAUUGGAGUUCAGAUCAUAGCUCUGUCACAUAACUAGUUGAGAUCUUGGAUAAGUCACCCACUUUGGGCCUCAGUUCUCUCUAUAGAAUGGGGAUACCAAUGAUGGGGUGCCUGGCUGGCUCGGUAGAACAUGGAACUCUUGAUCUCGGGGUUGUGAGUUUGAGUCCCAUGUUGGGUGUAGAGAUUACGUAAGUAAAUACACUUUUUAAAAAAAAUGGGAGGCAAACCAUAAGAGACUCUAAAAAACAGAGAACAAACUGAGAAUUUUGGAGGGGUGUUGGGUGGGGAGAUGUGCUAAAUGGGGGUGGGCACUGGGUGUUCUGUGUAAGUGAUGAAUCACUAAAUUGUCCUGAAACCAUUAUUAUACUAUAUGUUAACUUGGGUUUAAAUAACAUUUCAAAAAAGUAAAUUAAACCAAGAAUACUGGGGCACCUGGGUGGCUCAGUCAGUUAAGCGUCCGACUUCAGCUCAGGCCAUGAUCUCACAGUUUGUGGGUUUGAGCCCCGCAUCAGGCUCUGUGCUGAUAGUUUAGAGCCUGGACCCUGCUUUGGAUUCUGUGUCUCCUUCUAUCUCUGCUCCUCCCCGCCUUGUGCUCUCUCUCCCAAAAAUAAAUAAAUGUGAAAGAAAAAACAAAAAACAGGAAUACUGAUGUAUUACCUAGCUCUGAGGGCUUAUUGUGAGAAUGAAAUAGCAAAUGUAGUAAGUUAAAUUAUUCAGUAAAUUGUUCAGUAAAUGUUUGCUCUCAUCAAGUAGAGGGAUCCGGAUUUUGAUCAGGUAGUAGAAUAUUGGAAUUUGUUUCCUGAGGUGUGUUAAGGUAAAAUAGUUCUUGUAACACUUCCAAGGUUGAUAAUGAAGGGAAGUAUCCAUUAGGGUGAGAGGUGGCUGGACCUUGUGGCCCUGUUCUUGUCCUCUAAAAUUGGACUCUUGCAGUCAUUGCCACCACUGCCACUUUAGGUGCUCUCACCAUCCUUGCUUUCGGGUGUGUGCAGCACACUAGCCCAAGCGUGCAGGCAGGGACCCUUCUCUUCGGUCCCAGUGGGAGCUAGAAAAUAAGGCUAGAACAUUUAAGCAGGGCUUUCAUAAGGGCCAGGCAUAACCAGGAAAACAGAGAUGGGCAUAGAUAGUCUGACUUACAAGGUGCAGCCUACUUAGCUUCAGGUUCCGAAGGGCCUUACUGCUGCCUUCCUGCCUCUUUCAUGCCUUCCCAACAUGGCAGGCCCUGUUUCCUUCACCAAGGUGUCCCUUUCACCAUGUCCGGAUGACUUGAAGUCUAAAGCCUGAGGCAAAGACCUCAAGAGAACAUCUUUGCCUGGCAGGAGAUGUAUUUCUCUGUUCUUUUUUUUUUUGAGUUUCGUUCUGACUUCUAUUUCACAUUAUUUAUUUUGAGACUUAAUUUUUUAAAACAAUUCAAAAAAGGGCACCUGGGUGGCUCAGUCAGUAAAGUGUCUGACUUCGACUCGGGUCAUGAUCUCACGAUUCAUGAGUUUGAGCCCCAUGUUGGGCUCUGUGCUGACAGCUCGGAGCCUGGAGCCUGCUUCAGAAUGUAUGUCUCCCUCUCUCCAUGCCUCUGUCUCUCUCAAAAAUAAAUAAACGUUAAAUUAAAAAAAAAAUUUUUAAACUAAAACAAUUUUAGUUUUAUAGUGAAAUUGAGAGGGAGGGACAGACUUUUCAUGAACUCCCUGUCCCCGUACAUGCAAGCUUCCCCUAUUAACAUCACGCACCAGAGUGGUAUGUUUUUUACCAAGAAUAAACCUACACUAACGCAUCAUGAUCAUCCAAAAGCCAUAGUAUACUUUCGGGUUCCAUCUUGGUGAUAUAUAUUCUGUGGGUUUGGAUAAAUGUAUAAUGAUAUAAUCGAUUAUUAAAACAUACAGAGUGUUUUUGCUACCGUAAAAAUACUAACAAGACCUAGAAAAUAUCUAGAAUCCUGUUGUCCUAACAUCAGUUUUUAUUUUUCCACAUUCGUUUCGGGUCAUGAGGUGUGUUGAGCAAGUUGUAGAAGUUGAAUUUGUUUCUUUUAUGAAGACUUAAAGGCAUAAUGAGUGUAAAGUUCUUAACCUUGGUACCUAGCACAUGUAGUCACUGAUAUAUUUUCUUUCCUGCCUCCCUGAAUCCCCAGCAACUCUGGCUAUUCUUUUUUUUUUUUUUUUUUAAGGCUUUUUUGUUUGUUUGUUUUUUAUGUUUUAUUUACUGAUUUUGAGAGAGAAAGAGAACAGGGAUUGGGGGGCGGAGAUUGAAUUCCAAGCUCCAAGUGUGGAGUGUGACAUGGGGCUCCAGCUCACAAACUGUGAGAUUAUUACCUGAGCUGAAAUCAAGAGUUGGAUGCUUAACCGACUGAACCGCCCAGGGACCUGCUAUUGUAAAGGAAUGUAGAAUACUCCUGUUAUUCGUAAAGGACUGUGGUACUUCUUGGGAAUUCAGACUUACUCCCCUCCAGGAAUAAAGCACUGGUAACUGCAGAAUACAACUGGUGUGUUUUGUGAUAAAAACCAUGCAGCUGGCAGUUCCUAGAGCCAAUUACAGUCGAAGAGCUUACUGAGCCUCACAGUUGUCCUACUCAAGUCUGUUUGACUUUACUCCCAGAUCCAGCCCAUUCUGGCCCAUGGCCUUCCUUUCUGUUCGUCUGUUGUCUUCCGUUGGUUCAUCUUGAGUACAAGCUAGAUGCUCAGUGUAGCUUUUGUGAUUUGGUUCACGCUAUUACCUAACUCUAGAAAGUCCCUUUUAUCUUGCCUAUCUGAAGACGGCUAUUUGCUCAAGACUAAUUUCCAUGGUUACUCCAGCCAGUGUGAUCUUGCACUUCAGUAAUUGUCUAGAAAACAUAGUCCUUACCUUAAAAUCUUGAUUAUAUCAUUUGGUAUUUUGUAGUUUGCCUUUUUUUUUUUUUUUUUAAUCUUAAAGAACCAGCUUUGGUUUCAUUGAUUUUUCUCUGUUCUGUUUGUUUUCAAAAUGCUCUUAUAGUAUUUUUCCUUUUGUUUACAGUUGGCUGUAAUUUGCUUUAAAGUUUUCUGGUUUAAGGUAAAAAGUUAGAUCAAUUUGGGAUCUUUUUAAAUAUAAGCAUUCACUGCUGUAAAUUUCCCUCUUAGUACUACUUCAAGCUGCAUCCCUCAAAUUUUGAUUAAGUUGGGUUAUUUUCAUUCAGUUAAAAAUAUUUUCUAAUUUCCCUUGAGAGUUUUUAUCUUACCCAUAUGUUAUUUAGAAGUAUGCUGUUGAGGGGUGCCUGGGUGGCUCAGUUAGUUAAGUGUCUGUCUUGAGCUCAGGUCAUGAUCUUGUGGUUUGUGGUUUUGAACCCCGUGUGGGGCUCUGUGCUGACAGCUCAGAGCCUGGAGCUUCCUUCAGAUUCUGUCUCCCUCUCCCUCUGCCCUUCCCCCUGCUUGUGCUCUGUCUCUCUCUCAAAAAUAAACAAACAUUAAAAAUUUUAAAAAAAACAUAGAAGUAUGCUGUUUAAUUUUAAAAUAUUUGAGGGCUUUCCAGAUAUUUUUGUUAUUAGUUGCUAGUAAUUGUUAUAGUCAGAAAACAUACUUUUUAUGGUCUUCAUUUUUCCAGAUGUCUUAAUACUUGUUUUAUGGUUGUGAACUUGAAAAGAAUCUGUAUUCUGCUUUUGGGUAGAGUGUUUUAUAAAUGUUAGUUAGGUCCAGUAGGUUGAAUGAUCGUGUUGUUCAAGUCUUUGUAUAUUUGUAAUGACUUUUUUGUCUACUGUCAAUUACUGAGAGAAGAGUCUUGGAAAUCUCCAACUAUAAUUGCGGAUUUAUUUAUUUCCUCUUUCGGGUCCAUUUUUUUGUGGUUGGAGUUUUUUUGUUUUGUUUGUGGAAGGGGUUAUUCAGAGACACAGUUAACUUUAUUAGAGACAUCCAAACUUUUAGCAUAAAGCCACGUGAUAUUUUUCAAGAAAAUUGUAUAUUUUUUGAGCAUGAAGAAUUUCUGAAGUUCAGAAAUCUGGAAUUCUUAAAAUACUUAGAACAAAAUUACUCACAUAGGUUGUAAUUGUAUAAAAAGGCAAAUGAUCAGGACAUUUUGUUGAACAUAAUUGAAAGGUGGGCAAAAUGUAUUGGCUUGCAGAUGGAAAACCAACAAGGAAUUCAUCUAAGAUAUUAGGCUUAGGGGAGAGGGGAGCCAUUGCAUUGAUAUCAAAAUGCAAACUGACAGACCUUUUGUCCAAGGAACAUUGAACCUGCAUACAAAUGAUGACCAGGGGAGUGUGCCAGAUGGAGUGUUGUCAUGUACCUAAAGAGACAGCUGAAAUCAGAAUUGGGCCUUACAGUGGAAACACAUAGAUACUUCUGUACAUACAAGCAACUCUGUUGAUACCCCUGAAAGGAAUAUGUAGUGUUCAUGAUUAUUUUUGAGUUUUCUGCUUCAACAUCCACCUGUUUUUACUUUAUAUAAACAGUUUAGAAGCUCUGUAAUUAGGUAUGAAAUGUAUUUAGGGUUAACAUAUAUACAUAUACAUAUUUUUUUUAACAUUGUCUUCAAACAUUUUGGUGGGGGUGGGGGGGAAGAGGGGGAGAGAGAGAAUCCCAAGCUGUCUCCACACUGUCAGCGCAGAGCCCAAUGUUGGGCUCAAACCCACAAACCAUGAGAUGAUGACCUAAGCCAAAACUAAGAGUUGGAUGCUUAACUGACGGAGCCAUCCAGGUGCCCCAAGAAUUAUUAUAUCUUCUUAAUUGACUUUCUUAUCAUUAUGAAAUGUUCUUCUUAAUUCAUGGUAAUAUUUUCUGUCCUAAAGUCUACUUUGUCUGAUAGUAGUGCUACUCAGACUUUGUGUUUGCAUGGGUGUCUUUUUUCAUCUUUAAGCUUUUUUUUAUUUAAAAAAAAAAUACAUAUUUUUUACAUUUAUUCAUUUUUGAGAGAGAGAGAGUACGAGCGGGGGAAGGGCAGAGAGAGAGGGAUACACAGAACCUGAAGCACGCUCCAGGCUCCAACCUAUCAGCACAGAGCCUGAUGUGGGGCUCGAACUCACAAACGUGAGAUCGUGACUUGAGCCGCAGUCACAUGCCCAACUGACUGAGCCACCCAGGCACCCCAGAUUUUGUUUUUCUUAAGUAAUCUCUACACCCAACGUAGGGCUUGAACUCCUAACCCUAAGGUCAAGAGUGGCAUGCUUCAUGCUCCACCAGCUGAGCCAGCCAGGCACCCUGAGUGGGCUUGUUUAUUUCACUCUUUGCUUAGUAACUACAUUUUUUUUUUUUUAAGAUUUAUUUUUAAGGAAUCUCUACACCCAACAUGAAGCUCAAACUUACAACCCCGAGACCAGGGGUUGCAUGCUGUAAUGACUGAGCCAGCCAGGCGCCCCUACACUUUUUCUUUUUCUUUUUUUUUUUAAUUGGUUGCUCUGUACAUCACUGACUUACCAUGGUCUACUGUCACCAUUAGUCUUCUAAGAUCACUUUACAUAUAGUGUAAGAACUACACAUUACACUUCCAUUUUCCCCUUCAUUCUUUGUAGUAUUUUUGUCAUAUGUUUUAACUUUACCUGUAUUGUAAAUACAUUACUUUGUUGCUAAUUUUGUUCUAAACAGACUUUAUUUUUUUACAGAAACUACAAAAUGAGCAAAAAUAUCCUUUACAUUUUACUCACAUACUUUUUCUGGUAUUCUCUGUUACUUGAUGUAGAUCCAGAUUUCCAUCUGGUGGUGUUUUCAUGGUGCUUAAAGAAUUUCCUUUAACAUUUCUUACAGUAAUGAUCUAUUGGCAGUGAAGGCAUUCUGCUUUUGUCUGUCUGGGAAAGUGUUUAUUUUGUCUAAUUUCUGUUAAUGUAAAUCAUUGUUUUCUUUUGCAGCUUUACAGAGUCAUUCCAUCAGUGUAUUUUUUUUAUUUCAGAUAUUAUAAUUUUCAUCUCUGGAAAGUUCCAUCGAGGUGUUUAGUAUCUUCUCUCCUUAUUAUGUUCAUAUUUUCCUUUAUAUACUCCAGUGUAAUUAUAAGAUUUUUUAAAUGCCGUUUUAUAGUCCUUGGUUACUAAUUUCAUCACCUGUGUUAUUGCUAGGUCUGUUUCUAUUGAUUGAUUUUUCUUCUGGUUUUGGUAAUUCAUUCUUUUUGCAUGAAUGAUCGUUUUUAUUACAUGCUAGAAAUUUUGAAUUUUACAUUAUUUCUAGGUUUUGUUAUGUUUUGUUAAAUAGUAUUGAGUUGUGUUCUGGUGUGCAGUUCAGUAACUUGUGGGUUAGUUUGGUCCUUUUAAGGCUUGCUUUUAAGUGUAGUUAUGGCAACUCUAUAGCACCCUUUGUUCUGGGGCUAAUGAACCUCUGCUGCUGGGUUGAUAACCUUCUGGGGACUCUACCCAAUUCCCAUGUAUUACAGGUUCUCUCUAGUUGGCUGGUGGGAACACAAACUGCUGCCAACCUUAUAUGACCCGUGGGACUUGCUCAGCUUUCUGAUCUCGGGUGUUCUUGGAGUUUUACUCCAUACGCAUUGGUACUCAUCCAAAAUCAUGGGGAAUCCCUUCAUGGAUCUCCAGAAAUCUCUUUUGGAGACCAUGCUUCUCUCCAGUACCUCUGCCCCACAAAUUGUAGCUGCCUUGGCCUCCUGAAUUCUAAUCUUGAUCUCUUCAAUUGAGCGAGACUAUUGGGCCCUGUUUCUGUUACUCCUCUAUGUGUAUGCUGCAGCUUAGAAACUCGGCAGAGUAAGUUGUGGGGGACAGUCAUGGAGUUUACUUCAUUUGUUUCCUUUUCCUCAAGGGUCAUGGCCCUUAGGCCUAUGUUGUCUAUUUGUCAGUUGUCUGAAAAUACUGUUUUAUAUCUUUUGUUCAGUUUUCUAGUUGUUUAUAGUAGAAGGCAAUUUCUGUGGCCCCAUUAGUUUUUAUUCCCUCUAUUAAUUUUUAGUAGUUUUUCUCAUCCCUUUUUCUCCCCCACCCACCCCAGGAUUACUUACUGUAUUUGCUCUUAAGUGUUUAUAUUGCCUUAGUUGAUUUUUUUAUUGAGAUGAAAUUCACAUUGUAAAAAAAAAAAAAAAGUACAGUUCUGGGACACCUGGUGGCUCAGUCGGUUAAGCGUCUGACUCUUGACUUCGGCUCAGGUCAGGAUCUCAAAGUUCAUGAGUUUGAGCCCCACGUUGGGCUUUGUGCUCACAGGACGAAGUCUGCUUCAGAUCCUCUGUCUCCCUCUUUGCUUUGUGGCCCUCUCUUGCUCACACACCCUCUCUCUCAAAAAUAAAUAAACGUUAAAAAUUUUUUAAUAAAAAUUAAAAUAAUGAAAUGUACAAUUCUUUGGUUUUCGGUAUAUUCAUAAAAUUGUGCACCUGUCCCCACUGUCUAAUUCUAGAAUAUUUUCAUUACCCCAGAAAGAAACCCUGUAUCCAUUAGCAGUCAUUUGCUCCCCAUUGCUCCCCACCAUUCAGCUCCUGGCAAGCAUGAGUGUACUUUCUGUCUAUAUGGAUUUGCCUGUUCUGGAUAUUUCAUACAAGUGGAAUUGUACAAUAUGUGACCUUUUUUGGUCUGGUUUCUUUCACCUAACAUGUUUUCAAGAUUCAUCUACAUUGUGGCAUGUAUUAAUACUUGAAGAAUCCUUUUCACAGGUGAAUAAUAUUCUGUUAUAUGGAUAUACCAUAUUUUGUUUAUCUUUGUCAGUUGGUGGACAUUUGAGUUUUUUCUACUUUUUAGCUGUUAUGAAUAAUGUUUUCAUGAACAUUUGGUACAGAUUUUUGUGCAGAUGAAUGUUUUCAUUUCUCUUGGUUAUAUACUUAAGAGUAGAAUUACUGGAUCACACAGUAAUUCUGUUUAACCUUUUAAGCUACCAGGUUGUUUUUCAAAGUGAUUGCACCAGUACACAUUCCCACCAGCAAUAGUAGAGGAGUGUUCCAUUUUCUUCACAUUCUU